rnacentral:ribozyme from 1 species
AUAUAAAGACCUCGACCCAGUGGAACGAAUAAAAUCCCAAAGGAUAGUGCACAUGUGAUAAAAGGCAUGUAUUUGUGUCGUUGUGGCUGUUGCUGUUUUCUCAGAUUUGUUUUUCUUUUUGAUUCCU